rnacentral:pre_miRNA from 1 species
AGUGGAAUAGCUGGGUCAAAUGGUGGUUCCAUUCCCAGAUUUCCAAGGAAUCUCCAUACUGCUUUCCAAAUUGGCUGCACCAAUUUGCAGUCCCACCAGCAAU